UUGCAGUAUUUGUGUUAACAUUGAAUCUAUAAGUGUAAAGUAAUGUUAAAACCUGUAGAAGCACAAUCUAAAUACAAUAUUUACUGAUUCAGAUCAAUUUUCUUACAUUUUUCAUAAAAUAUAAUAAACUGAAGAAAUGCAAAUUAAACUGUUAAGUCUCUGUAUGUAGUCUUUCAACUAAAGUGGGGUUGGAAACUUAAUUACAAAUAACAUACGCACCACUAUUGACUUUAUAACACUUUUAUUUAAUAUAUUCAGAUGUAAAUUUACAAUAUCAACCAAUUAUUCACAAAUAGUUCUUCAGAGCCCCGGGAUGAUCUGAAGAACUAAAACUGGCAUUUCUCCAUUGGUCUAUCUGCCUGUUAAGGUUCCUAUAAUGAGGAGGUGAUGACGUCACCUCUGAAAGAGGGGGGCUGUGGAGCUGAGGGGGGGGUCUGUUGUUUUUUAGCUUGUAUCUUCUAAUUCAGUUUGAUCUUGUUUUCCACAGUAUUCUCCAUAUAGUUCUGACAACAUAUGUGGACAAACAUUAAACUAUCUUUUAUGUCAGAAUCCAACUAUACAGUGUAUUAAUAAGUCAAAUCAAAACAUCCCACAAAGAUCAAUGAAUCUUUACCAGAAGUGACGGAGCAACGGAGCAGAUGAAGAAAAAUCCACCUUCAAACUGCCAGUAAUCAGCUGGAUCCUUGGAUCAUCUGGGGAAAGAAAUAACAGCCUAAAGAUGUUGUUUAAUACUUUUAUCAUAUAUUAUUAUUAUCAUCCCCAUAUAAGAUGUUUUACCCUCCUCUUCCCCUUUUAAAAAUGUGCCGCAGUAACACGUUUACUCAGAGUACAUCACCUUUCAUCACCAGCAGUGAGGGACCGUUUACGUGAUGACGUCACUGUAGCGUCUCCUCGCCAGUCUCUGGAGUUUCUGUUACCGGUAGAGUUUAUUGCUGCUCUAUCUGAACACAGUUAAUGUUGUUGUUUUCUUCAUUACAGUGACUAACUACCUGCUGUACAUUUAAACUGAGCAGUUCUGCUCCAGCACCCACAGCUCUCUGCUGCUUAUAGCGACUUUCACUGAUUCAGCUUUUGUUUACAUGCUGUUUAGAACUGAUUGUUACUUUAGCUUAGCAGUUAGCUCUGGCUUCUCUCUCUCUCUUGCUCAGUGUCUCAGACCAACAAAUUAACUUGUUCAUAAGAGUGUUGUGUUUUUAUAUCUUCAGAAUAUUGGAUUGUGAUGUUUAUUACAGCUUCAGUGAUGUUUGCUGUCAUGCUGUGGACGCUAAUCUAAUGACGUUUGGUUUGUGUUUCUCCACGUGACCCAGUUUAAUUGACCUGCGUUAGUGUAAUGAGCAGCGUUAAUGUUAGUUAAUACAUUGUCCAUCAAGAUGACGUGAUAGUUCAAGUUAAAAUAACGUGACGUUUACAAAAUGUGUAGACAGAUAUUUGUCAUAUAGAAGAUUGUUCAUUUAAUAUUCAAACCAGUCCUGAACUGAAGCAGACAUUCAUGCACCUGUCCUGACAGCUGAUCGAUAUUUGUGAUUAACUGUGAUCCACCGCAUCUUAACUCAAGUGUUUGUGUUUUAUUGUCAUUUGAAAGUUUCCACACUGUGAAAACUGAGUGAUCUGUGCCAACAGAAGGAGGAGCUCAUGUACAGAGCAGCACAUUAGUUUCCAUUCAUCUGGUUGAAGGGAGACUGCAUGGACAUCCUUAGUUCUCUAAUGUGCUGUGAUGAUGAUGAUGAUGAUGAUGAUGAUGAUGAUGAUGAUGAUGAUGGUAGAAAACCUCCCAGUUCAUCUUCCUCUGAUGAAAUGACAGACUAACUGCUGAUGAGUUAGUUUAUUAUUCUGUCUUCAGUAUUCACAGGUUCAGUUUCUUACCUGCAGCUUCAUUCUGCUGUUGUUGACAGGAGGUCAACUGGAAUCAGCUGUACAACCAUUGCAAUCACUCACCUGCUCCUCAUCUCACAAUCAAGCCACCUAAACUGCUGCAGGAUAAAAGACCAGUUCAUUCUUCCACUCCUCGCCAGAUCGUCCGUUACCCACCCGUGUUCCUGUGUCCUGCUUUCUGGCUCCGUUCCUCUCAUCAACCAGCUCUGCUUCAGCUACUCACCUUCUGGAAACUCCGCAGCCUGGAUCCACC